AGUGAACGCUGGCGGUAGGCCUAACACAUGCAAGUCGAACGGCAGCACAGUAAGAGCUUGCUCUUACGGGUGGCGAGUGGCGGACGGGUGAGGAAUACAUCGGAAUCUACUUUUUCGUGGGGGAUAACGUAGGGAAACUUACGCUAAUACCGCAUAUGACCUACGGGUGAAAGCAGGGGAUCUUCGGACCUUGCGCGAUUGAAUGAGCCGAUGUCGGAUUAGCUAGUUGGCGGGGUAAAGGCCCACCAAGGCGACGAUCCGUAGCUGGUCUGAGAGGAUGAUCAGCCACACUGGAACUGAGACACGGUCCAGACUCCUACGGGAGGCAGCAGUGGGGAAUAUUGGACAAUGGGCGCAAGCCUGAUCCAGCCAUACCGCGUGGGUGAAGAAGGCCUUCGGGUUGUAAAGCCCUUUUGUUGGGAAGGAAAAGCAGCAGGUUAAUACCCCGCUGUUCUGACGGUACCCAAAGAAUAAGCACCGGCUAACUUCGUG
rnacentral:rRNA from 1 species